rnacentral:siRNA from 1 species
GUGUGAAUUGCAGAAUCCCGUG